GCCAGUGUGGCACAGUGAUUUGAGUGCUGGACUGUAACCCUGGAGACCUGGGUUCAUUUCCCAGCUUGGCCA